rnacentral:rRNA from 1 species
ACGGUAAGGAUUGACGGACUGAAGGCUCUUUCUCGAUUCGUGGAAAGUGGUGCAUGGCCGUUUUUGGUUGGUGGAUCGAUCCGUCUGGUUAAUUCCGUUAACGAACGAGACCUCGGCACUCCGAAUAGCGCGGCGGACGUCGCGGCCUCCGGGCCGUCUUCCGCACGAGCUUCUUAGAGGGACCGUCCCCCGCCGGGGAAGGAGGUGCGAGGCAACGACAGGUCUGUGAUGCCCUUAGAUGUUCUGGGCCGCACGCGCAUUACACUGACGCGUCCAACGGGUGACUCCCGACCCGAAGGGGCCGGGGAAUCCGCAAGGCGCGUCGUGAUGGGGAUUGAACGUUGCAAUUGUUGUUCACGAACGAGGAAUUCCUAGUAGGCGCGGGUCAUCAACCCGCGCCGAUUACGUCCCUGCC